rnacentral:rRNA from 1 species
AAAGGUAGCGUAAUCAUUAGUUUUUUAAUUAAAAGCUUGUAUGAAUGGUUGGACGAGGUAAUAGCUGUCUUUAUUUAAUAUAUAGUGGAAUUUAACUUUUAAGUCAAAAGGCUUAAAUUUAAUUAAUAGACGAGAAGACCCUAUAUAUCUUUAUUUACAAGGUUAUGUUUUUAAUUUGGAUAAAUUUAUAGUUUAUAAUUUUGUAAAUUUUAUUGGGGUAAUAUAAAGAUUAAGUAAAUUCUUUGAAUAAUUUAAACAAUGAUGAUUGAUAAAUUGAUCCAUUAAUAUUGAUUGGAAGAUUAAGUUACCUUAGGGAUAACAGCGUGAUUUUUUUAAAGAGUUCAUAUCGAUAAAAAAGU